UUUGGCUCUGUGAUGAAGCACUACGGAUGUAAAAUCAUUUCUGUCCGAGAUGCGCAUAACUCCCCGUGUGGAUACUUCCGUUGCCUUCCUUCUGAGGCCCAU
rnacentral:snoRNA from 1 species